UACGUAGGGUGCAAGCGUUGUCCGGAAUUAUUGGGCGUAAAGAGCUCGUAGGCGGUCUGUCGCGUCGGCUGUGAAAUCCCGAGGCUCAACCUCGGGUCUGCAGUCGAUACGGGCAAACUAGAGUAGUGCAGGGGAGACUGGAAUUCCUGGUGUAGCGGUGAAAUGCGCAGAUAUCAGGAGGAACACCGGUGGCGAAGGCGGGUCUCUGGGCAAUAACUGACGCUGAGGAGCGAAAGCGUGGGGAGCGAACAGG
rnacentral:rRNA from 1 species